GAAAGACGCCAAACUGGGUAGA
rnacentral:miRNA from 1 species